AGUCGAGGGGUAACGGAAGUAGCUUGCUACUAGACGACGACCGGCGCACGGGUGAGUAACGCGUAUGUAAUCUGCCUUGUACAGAGGGAUAGCCCAGAGAAAUUUGGAUUAAUACCUCAUAGUAUUACUGGAUCGCAUGAUUUGGUAAUUAAAGCUCCGGCGGUACAAGAUGAACAUGCGUGACAUUAGCUAGUUGGUAAGGUAACGGCUUACCAAGGCUACGAUGUCUAGGGGUUCUGAGAGGAUGAUCCCCCACACUGGUACUGAGACACGGACCAGACUCCUACGGGAGGCAGCAGUGAGGAAUAUUGGUCAAUGGACGCAAGUCUGAACCAGCCAUCCCGCGUAAAGGAUGACUGCCCUAUGGGUUGUAAACUUCUUUUAUAUGCAAAUAAACCUACUUUCGUGAAAGUAGCUGAAGGUAGCAUAUGAAUAAACACCGGCUAACUCCGUGCCAGCAGCCGCGGUAAUACGGAGGGUGUAAGCGUNAUCCGGAUUUAUUGGGUUUAAAGGGUACG
rnacentral:rRNA from 1 species